AUGCUGGGACCGGCCGGCUUUUUUGCUGGAACGGGCGACUGGAAGUGCUAUAACCGUGGCAGCAAAAUGCUCGAACCAACAGCCGCGACCUUCAGCAGGUUUUUUUGCGUCAACCAGUCAUUGUUGUUGCUGGAAACAUUAAGCAUUUUUGCUGGAACCAGUGAUUGCCAUGGAUACGAGUACAUGUCUAUUUUUUUUUUUUGCUGGGAUUGCAAUUUUUGGUGCGGUCGGCUAGAAAGUUUGCUUCAACCAGACAUUAUUUUUGCUGGAAGCAUUAAGAUUUUUUGCUACCACCUUGUUUUGUUUUGUUUUUGGCUGGAGUCAGCCUAA
rnacentral:rRNA from 1 species